rnacentral:rRNA from 1 species
CAAAACUCAAAAAAUGAUCUCAGUUCGGACUGUAGGCUGCAACUCGCCUACACGAAGUUGGAAUUGCUAGUAAUCGUGGAUCAGCAUGCCACGGUGAAUACGUUCCCGGGUCUUGUACACACCGCCCGUCACACCAUGGGAGCUGGUAACACCCGAAGUCAGUAGUCUAACCGCAAGGAGGACGCUGCCGAAGGUGGGAUUAGCGACUGGGGUGAAGUCGUAACAAGGUACC